rnacentral:rRNA from 1 species
CAGCCGCGGUAAAACGUAGGAGGCGAGCGUUAUCCGGAUUUACUGGGUGUAAAGCGCGUGUAGGCGGUCGUGCAAGUGGUGCGUGAAAGCGCCCGGCUCAACCGGGCGAGGACGUGGCCGAACUGCGCGACUAGAGGCAGGUAGAGGCGUGUGGAAUUCCGGGUGUAGUGGUGAAAUGCGUAGAGAUCCGGAGGAACACCAGUGGCGAAGGCGACACGCUGGGCCUGACCUGACGCUGAGGUGCGAAAGCAUGGGGAGCGAA